rnacentral:rRNA from 1 species
CUACGGGGUGCUGCAGCAGGGAAUAUUGCACAAUGGACGGAAGUCUGAUGCAGCGACGCCGCGUGGAUGAUGAAGGCCCUCGGGUUGUAAAAUCCUUUUCAGGGGGACGAGGAAGGACGGUACCCUUGGAAUAAGCGUCGGCUAACUACGUGCCAGCAGCCGCGGUAAGACGUAGGACGCAAGCGUUAUCCGGAUUUACUGGGCGUAAAGCGUCUGUAGGCGGAAUGGUAAGUUGGACGUGAAAGCUCCGGGCUCAACCCGGAGAGGUCGUUCAAUACUGCCAAACUAGAGGGCAUCAGAGGAGCGUGGAAUUUCUGGUGUAGCGGUAAAAUGCGCAGAUAUCGGAAGGAACACCAAUGGCGAAGGCAGCGCUCUGGGAUGAACCUGACGCUAAGAGACGAAAGCUAGGGGAGCGAACAGGAUUAGAUACCCGUGUAGUC